ensembl:snoRNA
AUACUUGACAAUCUGCUUAUCUAAAUGUGUUUCUAUAGAAAUUUAGAAACAGCUGGAAAGAGUGAAGCCAUUUUAUUAGCCUUAAGAACAACUGUGGUCAUUAUGGUCCCUCAAAAUGGCUACAAUA